rnacentral:misc_RNA from 1 species
AUGGAACUGAGGGGGCUGUGAUUUGAAUAAUUGCUUAUAGAAAAUCGAAUUUAAUUGCAAAAAAAAUGGAAUUUUUAAUCGAACAAGGCAAGCAACUACAUCAAGAUUGCUCUACUCUUCUACUGCCUGCAUUAUCGAUAGGGAAUGUGGGGCAGCUAGCUGUUGAUCUCUUGGUAUCUUCGACGAAGGCGGAGAGGAUUGGGUAUUUGGACGAUCCCUACAUUCUUCCUUGCGUUGGAAACGAUGCCUAUGGACCCAUUCCUUGCGGCGACCUUGCUCUGCCUCUUGAAGCAUAUGACUCACCUGCAAGUGCACUGACUCUUAUUCAACAGCGAUCCCCCGUUGUUCAGGGGAUGAUGAUUGAAUUUGCUAAGAACUUGGCAGAUUUUGCAGUUGCUAGCGGAAAGAAACACAUUGUUGUGCUUUCUGGCUUAGACUUUGGGAGAUGGCAAAGAAUUGAUAUGUCAAGUGGUUUACAGACAUAUUAUCUAUCUAGUACCAAUAAUGAUGGAACAGAUGAGUAUUGUGAACAACUCGGCUGGAAGAGAUUGCAGGAAUAUAAUCCUGCACAGAGGUCUUGGAAAUAUCUUAGUGCUUUAGCUGAAGGAAAUGCAUUGGAAGAAAACAGAUUGCCUUUUGAAGAUGAACUAGGAGAAGAAGAUUACUAUCCAAGUUUGCCUUUUGCCGCUCUCUUUUCUUGUUUUAAGGCAAAAGGUUUAAAAGUUACUUGCUUAUUAUGUUACUGCUCUGAAGGGGACAACAUGCCUGAUGCUUUUCAUGUGGCUGAGGCUGCAUGCAAACUCUUGGGGCUGUCUCCAGAUAAUUUCCAUGGUGAUGAGGGUGUUAAAUGGCUAACCCCAUUUUCAUGGAAGACAGUAUAUGGACCACCCCCAGAUAUGUCUAUGUUUUAGCCUGGGAUUAACCAAACCUGAGUUACAUCAUGGGUUGAUACUUCGAACUGUACAUUCAUCCUGUGAUUUUAAUGGUU